rnacentral:rRNA from 1 species
UACGGGGGGGGCAAGCGUUGUUCGGAGUUACUGGGCGUAAAGGGCUCGUAGGUGGCCAACUAAGUCAGACGUGAAAUCCCUCGGCUUAACCGAGGCAGGUCGUCGGAUACUGCGGGACUAGAGGACGGUAGAGGCGUGUGGAAUUCCGGGUGUAGUGGUGAAAUGCGUAGAGAUCCGGAGGAACACCAGUGGCGAAGGCGACACGCUGGGCCGUACCUGACACUGAUGCGCGACAGCAUGGGGAGCAAACAGG